UUAGACGUACCCGGGUACGUCCCAGACCGUAAACUAUGCGCGUUAGGUGUAUCGGUGACCACGAGUUACCGAGGUGCCGAAGGGAAACCGUGAAACGUGCCGCCUGGGAAGUACGGUCGCAAGGCUGAAACUUAAAGGAAUUGGCGGGGGAGCACCACAACAGGUGGAGCCUGCGGUUUAAUAGGACUCAACGCCGGGAAGCUCACCGGAUAGGACAGCAGAAUGAUUGCCGGGCUGAAGACCCUGCAUGACUAGCUG
rnacentral:rRNA from 1 species